AUUGAACGCUGGCGGUAUGCAUAACACAUGCAAGUCGAACGGUAGCAGGUCUAGCUUGCUAGAUGCUGACGAGUGGCGGACGGGUGAGUAACGCGUAGGAAUCUGCCUUAUAGUGGGGGAUAACCUGGGGAAACUCAGGCUAAUACCGCAUAAGCCCGAGGGUGAAAGUGUGGGACCUGAAAAGGCCACAUGCUAUAAGAUGAGCCUGCGUAGGAUUAGCUAGUUGGUGGGUAAAGGCUUACCAAGGCAAAGAUCCUUAACUGGUCUGAGAGGACGACCAGUCACACUGGGACUGAGACACGGCCCAGACUCCUACGGGAGGCAGCAGUGGGGAAUUUUGGGACAAUGGGGGCAACCCUGAUCCAGCAAUGCCGCGUGAGUGAGG
rnacentral:rRNA from 1 species